rnacentral:tRNA from 1 species
UUUAAAUAGUUUAAAAAACCUUACAUUUUCAUUGUAAAAUUAGAGAUUACUCUCUUUUAAAUAC